rnacentral:rRNA from 1 species
GUGGGGGAUAUUGCACAAUGGAGGAAACUCUGAUGCAGCGACGCCGCGUGAGUGAAGAAGUAUUUCGGUAUGUAAAGCUCUAUCAGCAGGGAAGAUAAUGACAGUACCUGACUAAGAAGCCCCGGCUAACUACGUGCCAGCAGCCGCGGUAAUACGUAGGGGGCAAGCGUUAUCCGGAUUUACUGGGUGUAAAGGGAGCGUAGACGGAAUGGCAAGUCUGAAGUGAAAUCCUGCGGCUUAACUGCAGAAUUGCUUUGGAAACUGUCAAUCUGGAGUGUUGGAGAGGUAAGCGGAAUUCCUGGUGUAGCGGUGAAAUGUGUAGAUAUCAGGAAGAACACCGGAGGCGAAGGCGGCUUACUGGACAAUAACUGACGUUGAGGCUCGAAAGCGUGGGAAGCAAACAGGAUUAGAUACCCUAGUAGUCC